UGGGGAAUAUUGGACAAUGCGGGAAACCGUGAUCCAGCAAUGCCGCGUGAGUGAAGAAGGCCUUAGGGUUGUAAAGCUCUUUUACCCGGGAUGAUAAUGACAGUACCGGGAGAAUAAGCCCCGGCUAACUCCGUGCCAGCAGCCGCGGUAAUACGGAGGGGGCUAGCGUUGUUCGGAAUUACUGGGCGUAAAGCGCGCGUAGGCGGCUUUUCAAGUCAGAGGUGAAAUCCCGAGGCUUAACCCCGGAACUGCCUUUGAAACUGAAUGGCUAGAACCUUGGAGAUGUGAGUGGAAUUCCGAGUGUAGAGGUGAAAUUCGCAGAUAGUCGGAAGAACACCAGUGGCGAAGGCGACUCACUGGACAAGUAUUGACGCUGAGGUGCGAAAGCGUGGGGAGCAAACAGGAUUAGAUACCCGGGUAGUCC
rnacentral:rRNA from 1 species